GACGAACGCUGGCGGCGUGCUUAACACAUGCAAGUCGAACGGACAGGCCCUGCUUUUGUGGGGCGCUCGAGUGGCGAACGGGUGAGUAACACGUGAGUAACCUGCCCUUGACUUUGGGAUAACUCCAGGAAACUCGGGCUCAUACCGGAUAGGAGCUCCUGCUGCAUGGUGGGGGUUGGAAAGUUUCGGCGGUUGGGGAUGGACUCGCGGCUUAUCCGCUUGUUGGUGGGGUAGUGGCUUACCAAGGCUUUGACGGGUAGCCGGCCUGAGAGGCUGACCGGCCACAUUGGGACUGAGAUACGGCCCAGACGCCUACGGGAGGCAGCAGGGGGGAAUAUGGCACAAUGGGCGGAAGCCUGAUGCAGCAACGCCGCGUGCGGGAUGACGGCCUUCGGGUGGUAAACCGCUUUCGCAUGUGACGAAGCGUGAGUGACGGUAAUGGGUAAAGAAGCACCGGCUAACUACGUG
rnacentral:rRNA from 1 species